GCAGGAAUAUCCUUCUCUAGUGAAGCUUUGAGCAUGCACGACUAUAAAGAUUGCUAACACCGUCCUUGAUUCAUUUCAAGGGCGAUGUCACCCAAAUGCUGGGACCCUUGAACAAUAAGAGUAUCAGCAGCCAAACUCACGCUUGGUCCACAGAUUAGGUGGUGACGGUCAAAUGAUAACCAAGAUUUUGUUUGACUAAGAUAUAAUCGGUUUGCUGUCCUACCACAGUGAGAAGAACGUUCCGUAGGUG
rnacentral:misc_RNA from 1 species